rnacentral:tRNA from 1 species
CAAAGUAUAGCUUAACCGAAAGCACCCGGCCUACACCCGGAAGAUCUCAAAUAAAUUGAUUACUUUGA